CGGGGACUAGCUCAGUUGGUAGAGCGCACGGUUCGGGACCGUGAGGUCAGCAGUUCAAGUCUGCUGUCCCCGACCA
rnacentral:tRNA from 3 species